UACGUAGGUGACAAGCGUUGUCCGGAUUUACUGGGCGUAAAGAGCGCGCAGGCGGCUGGUCAAGUCCGAUGUGAAAUCUCCCGGCUUAACUGGGAAACUGCAUCGGAAACUGAUCGGCUUGAAGGUGGGAGAGGGUAGUGGAAUUCCCGGUGUAGUGGUGAAAUGCGUAGAUAUCGGGAGGAACACCAGUGGCGAAGGCGACUACCUGGCCUGUUCUUGACGCUGAGGCGCGAAAGCUAGGGGAGCAAACGGG
rnacentral:rRNA from 1 species